rnacentral:rRNA from 1 species
GCGCGAAAACUUUACAAUGCUGGCAACAGCGAUAAGGGAACCUCGAGUGCCAGGUUACAAAUCAGGCUGUCGAGAUGCCUAAAAAGCAUUUCAUAGCAAGGGCCGGGCAAGACCGGUGCCAGCCGCCGCGGUAACACCGGCGGCUCGAGUGGUAACCGUUAUUAUUGGGUCUAAAGGGUCUGUAGCCGGCCGGAUAAGUCUCUUGAGAAAUCUGGCAGCUUAACUGUCAGGCUUUCAGGAGAUACUGUCUGGCUCGAGGCCGGGAGAGGUGAGAGGUACUUCAGGGGUAGGGGUGAAAUCUUGUAAUCCUUGAAGGACCACCAGUGGCGAAGGCGUCUCACCAGAACGGACCUGACGGCAAGGGACGAAAGCUAGGGGCACGAACCG